rnacentral:rRNA from 1 species
CGGCGUGCCUAAUACAUGCAAGUCGAGCGGUAACAGGAGGUUCCACCGUACACUUGACGCCUCGCGUAUUGACGAGGGUCAGAUUUCGAGUGUACAGUGGAAUCUCGCUGACGAGCGGCGGACGGCUGAGUAACGCGUGGGAAGGACCCCAAAGUGAGGGAUAACUACUCGAAAGAGUGGCUAAUACCGCAUGUGAUCUUCGGAUUAAAGCUUUUGCGCUUUGGGACUGGCCUGCGUACGAUUAGAUAGUUGGUGAGGUAAAGGCUCACCAAGUCGACGAUCGUUAGAUGGUUUGAGAGGAUGAUCAUCCAGACUGGGACUGAGACACGGCCCAGACUCCUACGGGAGGCAGCAGUAGGGAAUCUUUCACAAUGGGCGAAAGCCUGAUGGAGCAACGCCGCGUGCAGGAUGAAGGCCUUCGGGUUGUAAACUGCUUUUAUAGUUGAGAAAUAUGAUGGUAAGCUAUGAAUAAGGAUCGGCUAACUACGUGCC